CAAAACUAACAAAACUACAGUGUGCUUACCUUUCUACCCAGCAAUCCCACCUCUAGGACUCUACCCUGAACGUGCAUCUCCAACACAGAAAUACCUACGCACGGGCUUGUUCCCUGAACCGUUGCUUGUCGUUGCGAACUGUUAGAAACCUGCUGACCGUCCGCAUACACAAGAGCGUUGAACAAAUUGCGGCGCAUCCACACGACGGAGAGAAGAAUGAGGACGACCUCUACGAGCCGAUGUGGAGUGAUUUCCAGGACAUUCUCUUAAGUGGGAGAGAAUAUCGAUAGCAUGCUAUCCUUCACAAUGGUCCUGUGUCUUGGCUGCGGUGGUGGUGACCCCAACCUGCACGUGGGACAAACGGCACAGAAGUCUUCACACACGCUGUCCCAACGUCCGUCUCCUGGGCUUGCCAUUGUGUUACAGUUACGCAAGAUGGAACCACUGGGGGAAAGUGGGCCAAGCGACAAGGAGCCUUUCUGUACGACCUUCGAAACUUCCUGUGAAUUUAUAAUUAUUUCAAAAUAGAAAGUAAAAAUAAAUGACUAUGGGCCAAACAAACACGGUGGAGUUGGGGGAGGUUGGGUCCCUGAGCGGACAGUGCGCGAGCUCCGGCUUCGAGGAACAGGACCUUUCUUGACCCUCUGCCGAUAGCACCUUGGUUGUAUUGCCCUGGCUGCGAGGCCAGGUAACUAGGUCAGAGAGAAGGUGGACAUGUCAUCGUUGGCAUCAUAAAGAGCACACGGAAGGAUUUUGUGUGUUGGUGUGUGUAG
rnacentral:lncRNA from 1 species